rnacentral:rRNA from 1 species
UACGAAGGGGGCUAGCGUUGUUCGGAAUUACUGGGCGUAAAGCGCACGUAGGCGGAUAUUUAAGUCAGGGGUGAAAUCCCGGGGCUCAACCCCGGAACUGCCUUUGAUACUGGGUAUCUCGAGUCCGAGAGAGGUGAGUGGAAUUCCGAGUGUAGAGGUGAAAUUCGUAGAUAUUCGGAGGAACACCGGUGGCGAAGGCGGCAUCCUGGACCGACACUGACGCUGAGGAGCGAAAGCCAGGGGAGCAAACGGG